CGGAGGGGCGUAGCGUUGUUCGGAAUUAACUGGGCGUAAAGGGACGUGUAGGCGGCGGAUCAAGUCAGGCGUGAAAAGCCCCGGGCUCAACCUGGGAUGUGCGCUUGAUACUGAUUUGCUAGAGUCCGGGAGAGGCGAGUGGAAUAUCCAGUGUAGAGGUGAAAUUCGUAGAUAUUGGAUGGAACACCAGUGGCGAAGGCGGCUCGCUGGACCGGAACUGACGCUGAGGCGCGAAAGCGUGGGAGCAAACAGGAUU
rnacentral:rRNA from 1 species